GGGAUCAGGGGUUCUGAGAGGAGAUGAGGGGGACUGGGGGUGCUCGAGGCGGGCUGGGAGCCACGGGGACCUGAAAGAUGCUGGAACUUGAGCAGGACCGGCGGUUCUGAGGGGAGCCAGGGGCACUGAGGGUCACAGGAAUUGUCUGAAGGGAGCCUGCAUCUCGAGCCAGAUGUGCAAUCCUGACACAGAUCAGAGCACACCCAGGUAAUGGUUGGAAAAACACACUUAGCUCCUUCUCAGCGUUACCACAACUCAACACCUCCCAAAAGUCCAGAGCCUCGCUCAGACCAUGGCACGCUUUGCCUGGGACACAGCUGAAAUAUUCCAAAUAUAAUGCACAAGAAGCAUUCAUCUCUGGGAUAAAUCUCACUUAGUGAAGUUUUUGGAACCAGUCUUGGUAACAUGAAGAAAAUCAACAGAGAAAGCAGCCAGAUUCCCUUAAAAUGAUGUUUGGGAUACAAGUGGGCUUGUUGCCUUGCUCCUCCUGGAAUCAUCUCCUUUGGAGAGACUGAAUGUGGUAAAAUGUAAAAGGCUGCAGCACUUCCUGUGUUAAAAAAGCUGAUUUUGAAUGACCUGCUCUAUUACCAUCCCAGCAGAUGGGGGUUUGUGUGUGCAGCUGGGAAUCUAUUUUUGUGCUCUGCAUGAGCACUGGGGCAGGUUUCUGGGCUGGGACCUCCGAGAAGUAAAUCAAAACUCUGCUUAAAGACUCAAACUGUCUCCUGUGGGGCUUUAAGUCUCUUUUUAUUUCUGGAAUGCUUUUUCACAGGAGUGGAAGUUUAGUAUUUCUGAGGCUUUCCUAAGUGAGGGAAAGAAUUAUUACAGUCAAGGUAUAAUAUCAUUCUUUAUUACAGUUUUUAUACCACCCAGCUAACUUUCCUGAAUUUGUUGCUUAUGAUUUUCCCUCCUGAAAUAGAUUCUGUAAUUAACAGUUUGUAUCUUCUCAUGCCAGGCUGGAGGGGGCUUGGAACAACCUGGACUAGGGGAAGGUGUCCCUGCCUGGUGCCAAGGAUGAUUUUUUUCCCUAUUGGGACACGUGCCAUGUUUGUCUCCAAUAUUUUUCGGGAAGAAACCAACAUUUUCUCGUUAAUCCUCGCAGUGGUGGCAGCGCUGCUGUCCCUUUCAGACUGAAAUCCAGAGGCUGAUUGCCCUCCCGGGCACUGGGAGGGGUCGGGCAGUACCAGCUGUGUCCUGCUGUCCCCUUGCUGCCCUUCCUGCACCGCCCUGGGUGUGGGACGAGCGCCGAGGAUCCCGUGGGAGCGCAGGAAGCGCCGAUCCAAGGAAAGGCGAGCAGGGGUGGCCGCUCUGAAGGUUUUGGACCCUUAAAAGCUGGAAGUGCAUCCUCCAAGAGCCAAGGUUGCUUCAGGCUCUUUGGUGAGGGUGAAAUGAAGCUCUGCCGUGUGUCAGAGCUGAACCAGAGGAGCUGAGGAGCCAGGACACCCCGGGAAGCUCCCGAGCUUUGCAUCCCACUUCUGCCACAGCUGACUUGGACCCUGUGGAGCUGGAAACCAGGCUUGCUUCAGGCAGUGGUUCUGAAAGGCAUUCAGAGAACUUCUGAGAAAAGGAUCUUUUUCCCCUGGAUUAGUCACGGUGCUUGGACAAACAUGGCCUUGUUUCCUCAAGAAAUGUAUCAGCACCACUGUGUUUAUUUCUCCACGGCCUUAACCAGCAGGAGGACGGGGAGUCCAACUGAACAUUUGGAUGUCAAAAUCUGGUGAAACAUCAGCUUUUACAAAGUUCAGUGUGGGCAGCGUGGUGCUUUUCAUGAGUGUCGAGUGCCUGGCCAGUGUUGAUCCUGUACAAACUCCAAGGGACGGGCGAGAGCUGCGAGCUCAGCGUGCCUUUGAUCCAGUCAGCAGCUGCCCAAAGGACUUCCAAACAUGUCAGGCUCAAGGAACAGCUUGUGGGGAGCAGGAGAGGGGCACAGUCAUUCCCAGCAGCUUUCAUUCCCCUUGCAGGCACUACAAGGAGAAAGCUCUUCCACUUUGAUCCCUGGGAAGGGGAGGGAGUUGGUGAGAUCUGGCAGAGCUCCCUCACCACAUCAGCACCCCCAGCCCAGGGAGGGAGUGACCAGGGCUGUGCUCACAUUCCCCGUGCUCCACUGGAGGAAUGGACCCGGAAUGCUGCACUGGGCACUAAUGUUUAGUGGUUUUCCUGUCGAGGGAGAGUUUUUAGAACAGACGGCAAAUGAAAAUGGGAACAGUUUCAUGUCUAAAUGUGUAUUUAAUGUCUAAAUGGUGGUUCUGGCUUGGAAAAUGGGCCUUUGGUACCUCAAAUGUUCACAGAAUCAUGGAAUUCCAGACUGGAUGGGUUGGAAGGGGCCUUAAACCUCUCAUUCCCAGCCCCUGCCAUGGGCAGGGACACCCUCUAGUGUCCCAGGCUGCUCCAGCCUGGCCUGGGACCCUCCCAGGGAUCCAGGGGCAGCCCCAGCUGCUCUGGGAACUCCAUCCCAGCCCCUCCCCACUCUCCCAGGGAGGGAUUUGGGUCAUAAUAUUUGGGUUUGGCUUAGAAUGUAAAACCAUGUCCAGGAUGGGUUUGCUAAUUUUUUUCCAAAGAAAAAAUGUCUUCAGAGUUGUGGAAUUUUAUUCUUCCAGGUAUUGGUGUUACAGAAUGUGCUGAAAUAUGUGUAUGGAUGAAAUGAAUGAAAUUAUCUCAGAUGGAAUAAUUUGCCAGUUAAGAGCCUGGUGCUAUCAUUUUUUAUUAAAUACAGAUCUCUUUAAAUUGGAGAUGUGUUCACAAGCAACACAUCUAUAUAAAUUAUAAAUAAAUAUAUUUAUGUAUUUAGUGAGAGAGGUGUAACCCAUGAUUGAAGGGAUGUUGUGGCUGAAUCCCUGAUACUAUCCACCUUUCCCUCUGAAAGGAUUUUUAAUUGAGUCUUUAAUUGUCCAUACAAAUAGAGAAAGUUUAAGGGAAAUUCUUACAUAAAGGAAAAAGGGAGAACUUUCCCUUUUUUCUGUGUGAGCCAUUGCAGAGUUUCCCUGCAGAAAGCUCCAAGCUGCAUUGACAUUUUGGUUUCCUUUCUUCCCUCAUCCUGGCUGCCCUUGAUUCCAGAGGAGAACAAUGGGAGGGCAGUGAGUGCCGAGGGUAUUUCAAGCACAGUCAUGGGAAACGCUCCCAUCACCACUGAGCCUUUCCCUUGCCCUGGUGAAUCCUCUGGCUGUGCUGCAGCCUCUGGCUCCAGAGCCUCUUCCCCAGGGGAAUUGUGAACAUGGAAAACUCCUGGAUUGCAGUGGCACCGUUGGGAGGCACAGGGACACCUCAGCCAAGGCCCAGGAUCCUUUUGCUGCAUUCACAAGGUGCUCCUGCACUCACUGAUUCUAACAGCUCCAAAGGUAAUUUCCAAAGAAUUCUGUCUUUCCCUCCUUCCCAAGGACCAUGUGGAGCCCGGGAGCAGCUCGGACUCAGGUGCUGAAAGCACAGCACCAUUUUCCUGCCUUGAGGGAAGAAGGUCUCUGAACAGACACGUGUCAAGUGAAAUGAUUUAUGUCCCAGAGGAGUCUGCAGCUGAUUCACAACAUGAUCCCUGCGUGUUUGGAGAGGGUGUUUUGACUUUCUUCCAUGGUUCCUUGUCAAAUUCCCGACAGAGUGGCUGGGAGGUGACUGUGCUGCUCAGCAGCUCAGGUAAAACUCAGCCCUUUGCUUUCUACACCUUGCAAGGGUAAAUAAAGCCUUGAAUCACAAGUGGCUGUGCCUCAUUAAGAGCAUCUUUUAUUCAAUCAGAAUUGAUUAUAUUGAUAAAUUGCCAUUGAUUACAUCCUGCACGCAGGAUUCCGGUCAUUUUUGGUGCAAGAAGGUGACAUUUGAUGGCAAAUGGAGCUUUUGACAGUGACAAAGGAGCUUUUCCAAGGGUUUGUCUGAUAUGGCAAGAACCUUUUGGAGCAAAGAGCUCAAGAAAGAUGACUUUGGAGAGGAGAAGCAUUCCAGUGUUUGAAGGGGCUGCAGGGAAGCUGGAGAGGAAGCGUUCAUCAGGAAUGGGAGUGCCAGGAC